rnacentral:lncRNA from 1 species
AGCGUCUCCACUCGUGAUCAGACCGCUUGCUCGUGGGCCUCUACCCUCUGCUCCAGCUCCACAGGAAUACUAACCAAUCUACUGUACUAACCUUGCACUUUCAUGGAAGCCACCAAAAAGAAUUAGCUGUCGCUUCCAGGCCACCAUCCGAUGCCCGCUUCGACCUGAAGGACCCCCUGCUGAUCUAAAAUGAAGAGGAAAGAGGAAUAAAAACACAUUACAUUAGGACUGGAGAGAUGACUCAGCAGUUAAGAGGUCCGGAGUUCAAAUCCCAGUAACCACAUGGUGGCUCACAACCAUCUGUAAUGGAUUCUGAUGCCCUAUUCUACUGUGUAUGAAGACAGCGACAGUGCACUCACAUACAAUAAAUAAAUAAACAAACCUUUAAUAAGUUAAAA